rnacentral:rRNA from 1 species
GACGAACGCUGGCGGCGUGCUUAACACAUGCAAGUCGAACGGAAAGGCCUGCUUUCCCUUGUGGAUUGCGGGUACUCGAGUGGCGAACGGGUGAGUAACACGUGAGUGAUCUGCCCCCAACUUGGGUAUAAGCCUGGGAAACUGGGUCUAAUUCCCGAUAGGACUGCAGGGUAGUGCCUGUGGUGGAAAACGAUUUUCUAGUGGUUGGGGAUGAGCUCGCGGCCUAUCAGCUUGUUGGUGGGGUAAUGGCCUACCAAGGCGGCGACGGGUAGCCGGCCUGAGAGGGUGGACGGCCACAGUGGGACUGAGAUACGGCCCAGACUCCUACGGGAGGCAGCAGUGGGGAAUAUUGCACAAUGGGCGGAAGCCUGAUGCAGCGACGCCGCGUGGGGGAUGACGGCCUUCGGGUUGUAAACUCCUUUCGACCGCGAGGAAGCCACCUGGUUGGAAGGGUGGUGACGGUAGUGGUAGAAGAAGCACCGGCUAACUACGUG